rnacentral:rRNA from 1 species
UACGGAGGGGGCGAGCGUUGUCCGAAGUUACUGGGCGUAAAGCGCGCGUAGGCGGGGAACCAAGUCCGCUGUGAAAGCCCGAGGCUUAACCUCGGCGGGUCGGUGGAUACUGGUUCUCUUGAAGGUGCUAGGGGGAGAUGGAAUUACCGGUGUAGCGGUGAAAUGCGUAGAUAUCGGUAGGAACACCAGUGGCGAAGGCGGUCUCCUGGGGCAUUCUUGACGCUGAGGCGCGAAAGCUGGGGGAGCGAACGGG